GAUGAACGCUGGCGGCGUGCCUAAUACAUGCAAGUCGAGCGAACGGACGAGAAGCUUGCUUCUCUGAUGUUAGCGGCGGACGGGUGAGUAACACGUGGAUAACCUACCUAUAAGACUGGGAUAACUUCGGGAAACCGGAGCUAAUACCGGAUAAUAUUUUGAACCGCAUGGUUCAAAAGUGAAAGACGGUCUUGCUGUCACUUAUAGAUGGAUCCGCGCUGCAUUAGCUAGUUGGUAAGGUAACGGCUUACCAAGGCAACGAUGCAUAGCCGACCUGAGAGGGUGAUCGGCCACACUGGAACUGAGACGCGGUCCAGACUCCUACGGGAGGCAGCAGUAGGGAAUCUUCCGCAAUGGGCGAAAGCCUGACGGAGCAACGCCGCGUGAGUGAUGAAGGUCUUCGGAUCGUAAAACUCUGUUAUUAGGGAAGAACAUAUGUGUAAGUAACUGUGCACAUCUUGACGGUACCUAAUCAGAAAGCCACGGCUAACUACGUGCCAGCAGCCGCGGUAAUACGUAGGUGGCAAGCGUUAUCCGGAAUUAUUGGGCGUAAAGCGCGCGUAGGCGGUUUUUUAAGUCUGAUGUGAAAGCCCACGGCUCAACCGUGGAGGGUCAUUGGAAACUGGAAAACUUGAGUGCAGAAGAGGAAAGUGGAAUUCCAUGUGUAGCGGUGAAAUGCGCAGAGAUAUGGAGGAACACCAGUGGCGAAGGCGACUUUCUGGUCUGUAACUGACGCUGAUGUGCGAAAGCGUGGGGAUCAAACAGGAUUAGAUACCCUGGUAGUCCACGCCGUAAACGAUGAGUGCUAAGUGUUAGGGGGUUUCCGCCCCUUAGUGCUGCAGCUAACGCAUUAAGCACUCCGCCUGGGGAGUACGACCGCAAGGUUGAAACUCAAAGGAAUUGACGGGGACCCGCACAAGCGGUGGAGCAUGUGGUUUAAUUCGAAGCAACGCGAAGAACCUUACCAAAUCUUGACAUCCUUUGACAACUCUAGAGAUAGAGCCUUCUCCUUCGGGGGACAAAGUGACAGGUGGUGCAUGGUUGUCGUCAGCUCGUGUCGUGAGAUGUUGGGUUAAGUCCCGCAACGAGCGCAACCCUUAAGCUUAGUUGCCAUCAUUAAGUUGGGCACUCUAAGUUGACUGCCGGUGACAAACCGGAGGAAGGUGGGGAUGACGUCAAAUCAUCAUGCCCCUUAUGAUUUGGGCUACACACGUGCUACAAUGGACAAUACAAAGGGCAGCGAAACCGCGAGGUCAAGCAAAUCCCAUAAAGUUGUUCUCAGUUCGGAUUGUAGUCUGCAACUCGACUACAUGAAGCUGGAAUCGCUAGUAAUCGUAGAUCAGCAUGCUACGGUGAAUACGUUCCCGGGUCU
rnacentral:rRNA from 1 species